CCUUCAAAGUCUCAAGUCUCAACAACCCUCGAUUGGCUUUUUUCGAUGGAUAAAGUUACCCAGAGUUAGUAGGUUGAACCCCUAGCAUAAAAGGCAUGUAAACUAGAAGUAAAGCUUGACAAAAAGGAGAGCAAAUUUCAGCUAGAA